rnacentral:rRNA from 1 species
UACGAAGGGGGCGAGCGUUGUUCGGAUUUACUGGGCGUAAAGCGUGCGCAGGCGGUGAUGUAAGUCCGAUGUGAAAUCCCCGGGCUUAACCUGGGAACUGCAUUGGUGACUGCAUCGCUCGAGUAUGGCAGAGGGGGGUAGAAUUCCACGUGUAGCAGUGAAAUGCGUAGAUAUCGGGAGGAACACCAGUGGCGAAGGCGAGUCUCUGGGAUGAUGCUGACGCUGAGGCGCGAAAGCGUGGGGAGCGAACAGG